rnacentral:rRNA from 1 species
UACGUAGGGUGCGAGCGUUGUCCGGAAUUAUUGGGCGUAAAGAGCUUGUAGGCGGUUUGUCGCGUCUGCCGUGAAAAUUCGAGGCUCAACCUCGAACUUGCGGUGGGUACGGGCAGACUAGAGUGUGGUAGGGGAGACUGGAAUUCCUGGUGUAGCGGUGAAAUGCGCAGAUAUCAGGAGGAACACCAAUUGCGAAGGCAGCUCGCUGGGACGUGACUGACGCUGAGACGCGAAAGCGUGGGGAGCAAACAGG